GAUGAACGCUGGCGGCGUGCUUAACACAUGCAAGUCGACCGGAAAGGCUCCUGCUUGCAGGGGUACUCGAGUGGCGAACGGGUGAGUAACACGUGGGUGAUCUGCCCUGCACUUCGGGAUAAGCCUGGGAAACUGGGUCUAAUACCGGAUAGGACCACAUUUUGGAUGGUGUGGUGGAAAGUUUUUCGGUGUGGGAUGAGCUCGCGGCCUAUCAGCUUGUUGGUGGGGUAAUGGCCUACCAAGGCGUCGACGGGGAGCCGGCCUGAGAGGGUGUACGGCCACAUUGGGACUGAGAGACGGCCCAGACUCCUACGGGAGGCAGCAGUGGGGAAUAUUGCACAAUGGGAGCAAGCCUGAUGCAGCGACGCCGCGUGGGGGAUGACGGCCUUCGGGUUGUAAACUCCUUUCGCUAGGGACGAAGCGUUUUUGUGACGGUACCUGGAGAAGAAGCACCGGCUAACUACGUG
rnacentral:rRNA from 1 species